rnacentral:rRNA from 1 species
CCUACGGGAGGCAGCAGUGGAGAAUAUUGCGCAAUGGGGGAAACCCUGACGCAGCGACGCCGCGUGAGCGAUGAAGGCCUUAGGGUUGUAAAGCUCUGUCUUCAGGGACGAUAAUGACGGUACCUGAGGAGGAAGCCACGGCUAACUACGUGCCAGCAGCCGCGGUAAU